AAUUUUAACAGUGCCCCGAUACAAAGAAUGGUCGACAUGGUUUCCUGUUUAGCUUUAUGUGCAAUCCUCUGAACUUGGCUUAAUUAGUGGUUCUUAAGGACGGCUGCAUUAUUCAGGCUGGCAAAUAUGAUGAACUUUUACAGGCAGGAACUGAUUUUGAAACUUUGGUGUCAGCUCACCAUGAAGCAAUUGACUCUAUGGAUAUUCCCAAUCACUCACUUGAAGAUUCAGUUGAAAGCAAUCCUUGUGAUGGGUCUGUUCUAUUGAGUAAAAAAUGUGUUACAAUUGGAAAUCGUAUUAACAGUUU